rnacentral:rRNA from 1 species
UCAUGGCUCAGAUUGAACGCUGGCGGCAGGCCUAACACAUGCAAGUCGAGCGGUAGCACAAGAGAGCUUGCUCUCUGGGUGACGAGCGGCGGACGGGUGAGUAAUGUCUGGGAAACUGCCUGAUGGCGGGGGAUAACUAGUGGAAACGGUAGCUAAUACCGCAUAACGUCGCAAGACCAAAGUGGGGGACCUUCGGGCCUCACGCCAUCAGAUGUGCCCAGGUGGGAUUAGCUGGUAGGUGGGGUAACGGCUCACCUAGGCGACGAUCCCUAGCUGGUCUGAGAGGAUGACCAGCCACACUGGAACUGAGACACGGUCCAGACUCCUACGGGAGGCAGCAGUGGGGAAUAUUGCACAAUGGGCGCAAGCCUGAUGCAGCCAUGCCGCGUGUGUGAAGAAGGCCUUCGGGUUGUAAAGCACUUUCAGCGAGGAGGAAGGGUAAUGUGUUAAUAAGACAUUGCA